rnacentral:rRNA from 1 species
UCCGUAGGGUGACCUGCGGAGGGAUCAUUACACAAAUAUGAAGGCGGGCUGGAACCUCUCGGGGUUACAGCCUUGCUGAAUUAUUCACCCUUGUCUUUUGCGUACUUCUUGUUUCCUUGGUGGGUUCGCCCACCACUAGGACAAACAUAAACCUUUUGUAAUUGCAAUCAGCGUCAGUAACAAAUUAAUAAUUACAACUUUCAACAACGGAUCUCUUGGUUCUGGCAUCGAUGAAGAACGCAGCGAAAUGCGAUAAGUAGUGUGAAUUGCAGAAUUCAGUGAAUCAUCGAAUCUUUGAACGCACAUUGCGCCCUUUGGUAUUCCAAAGGGCAUGCCUGUUCGAGCGUCAUUUGUACCCUCAAGCUUUGCUUGGUGUUGGGCGUCUUGUCUCUAGCUUUGCUGGAGACUCGCCUUAAAGUAAUUGGCAGCCGGCCUACUGGUUUCGGAGCGCAGCACAAGUCGCACUCUCUAUCAGCAAAGGUCUAGCAUCCAUUAAGCCUUUUUUUCAACUUUGACCUCGGAUCAGGCUCGUAUGGAACCCCG